UCUUGUCGACCGUCGACCCUUAACCUCGCUUGUGGUGUAUAUUGCUUAUUUCGUUUAAUUUGCUUUUGUCGUCUUUGCUUCUGUCGUUCUCAGUUAUAUUGCCUUGUAUUUAAUUAAUACUGCUUGUAAUUAAUUUUUUUGGCUGCGCUGAAAUAUUCCCCAUUUAAGUGGCUAUUAUCGUGAAAAUGUCUUUUUACGGCUCACGGGAACAAUUUGCUGAAAAAUGCAAAAAUUUUGAAAGAGGUUGCUGCAGCAAUUUAGAUUGCGGUUCGGUUCAUACAUAUAGAUAUUGCUACAAAUAUUAAAAUGAUUCGUGUAGCGUCAAGGACUGCCCAUUUUUACACUGCCCUAGUGUGGAACAGUAUCGUUACAUGAUGACUGGCAAAGCAACCGAAAAUCUAAAAAGAGAAGUCGGCCGAACCUUACAGAACACCGAUAUAUGUGGUGACUUUAAAAAAAACAUUUGUACACGAACAAAAUGUAAACGUCGGCACAUUAAAUUAGAUAAGCCUUUAGAGUGUCUGAUAUGUCGGGAUGAGAUCGUUCUGGAGACUUUUGGUGCUGUAACUUGCGGACAUAUAUUAUGUUGUAACUGUUUAUUUCAAUUGUUGAACAAUAACACAGAACAAUCAAUAAAAAUAGAUUGUCCGAUAUGUAAAUGUAAAGGAGGAUAUAAAAAAUUAAUGUAAUAUUUUGCUUAUGUCGUUUAUUUUGCUUAUGUCGUUUAAUUUGCUUUUGUCGUCUUUGCUUCUGUCGUUCCCAGUAUUAUUGCUUUGUAUUUAAUUUUUCUGGUAAGCUUAUC